UUAAUCUUUGCUUUUUACCCUUGAGACAUUUUCAAUUCAAUAGCUAUUUGCACUGCAGUUUUAGUGUGAGAAGAACAUUAUGUAUGUACGGCUGCUGAAAGUACAGUCAGCCUAGAACAACAUUUUAUUAUUCAGGACAUUUUAUUUUUUCUCUUUAAGGUAAUGCAGCUACCAUAAAAGGAUCUGCAAAUGUUAUAUUACACAUAAAAAGC